AAACAAAACAAAACAAAACAAAACAAACAACUGUGGGCACACACAAAGCUCAAAUAAAGUAAAAGAACAAACUCCAGUUCUGAAAUACAACUUCAUAGUACUUUUUAAAACAACUUUUACAGCAAUGGUAAAAAUUGUCAUGCAUUUUUCUUUUAAGCAUUCAUUUUUAGUAGCAGAGUAAAUUUUCACAAUGCACAUGCAGGUCUCCUAAUAACUAACUUAUGGUCAGCUUAUGAUGAUGUAGAGCAGGUUUUAAAGGACUAAGUCAAUAUAGCUAUUCUGCUUUUGACCAUUAGGUAAUACUAAGGGGAAAGCAUUUUGAUAGGGGAGUUGUCUUUCAAUGUUUUUAUUGCCGCCUUCUCUAACAUGCUUGAUUAAAAAUUUGAAAUGUAUACUAAAGACUGAGUUGUAAAAAAGUUCAUGUUUCUUCUCCUCAUAUGUAGACAUGUCAUAAUGUAGUAAAAAUUAUUCUUUUUCACAUAGAGUCUUGAAAACACAUUGGAAGGGAUUCUGAAAAGCUUGUUUGAACCAGGUCUGUAACCACAGGAGCUCGGUGACCAAGAGUCUCGGCAAGCCUUGGGUUCAGAGCAUGAGUGUGCAAAGCAAACACAAUACAACAGUCAUGUAAUCCCCCCAUACCAAACUAUAUGGGGGGGCAUAAUAUUUUCUUCUAACAAAUGUUUAAAAUAUACCAUGUAAUUUACAGUGAGAGUUAUAUAUGAUUUGGUCAGAAAUUAUAAUUUUGGAUGAAUAAAGAUUAUGCUACGAUUUGAGACAGAAUGUAAGUUUUCUGUUCUUUGUUUUUCUUGAUGUGUGUGUGCAUCUGUGUUUGGGUAUCUGUGUGUCUGUAUGUCCAAUAGCCAUGUCCUGCAUUUUCCUCUAUUGCUCUCCACCUUAUGUUUUAAAGGUAGGAGUUCUCACUGAACCUGACAGUGUAAUUCACUAACUAAACUAGAUGCCCCCAAGCCCAAGGCUUUUCCUGAGAGUUCCUGCUUCUGGAUCUCCUAACUGGGCUGAGCAUUUCAACUUGGGUUCUCCCAGUUGAAAAUCAAGCAGUUUCCUGGCUGAGUCUUCUCCUCAGCCCCCUAUUUUUGGUACUUUUGAGACAGUCUUGUUAUGUACCCCAAGAUUGUCUUGAACUCCCAUGUAUCCAAGGAAGUCCUCCAACUCAUGGUCCUCUCUCCUGAGUGCUGAAGUGACAGGUGUGACCCCACCCCCAACUUUGCAUUUUACCAUCUCUUAAUUCCUUCCUUCCUUCCUUCCUUCCUUCCUUCCUUCCUUCCUUCCUUCCUUCCUUCCUUCCUCUCUUCCUUCCUUCCUUCCUUCCUUUCUUUCUUUCUUUCUUUCUUUCUUUCUUUCUUUCUUUCUUUCUUUCUUUCUUUCUUUAUCACUUUCUUUCUUUCCAGAGUUUCUCUGUUUAGCCCUGGCUGACCUGAAACUCACUCUGUAGACCAGGCUGUCCUUGAACUCUGACUCCCAAGUGCUGGGAUUAAAGGCAUGUGCCAGCACUACCCAACUCAUCUCUUAAUUUCUUACUUUACUCACUUAAACAUAAAACACUAAACUAAUAAAUAUACAAUAUAAAUAUUUUAUAUGUAAGUCAUUUUAUCUACUGAAUUAAGAACAGACCACAGAAAUCCCUUGCUGAGAAUUAUUGGCUUUUAUAUCUAUCUAUGUAUUUCAAGGGAUGAACAAACGACACAUUUAAAAAUUAAAUUAUAUAAAAACACAUUAAAGGAAAUUGUGUUAUGAAAUAUUAAUGCUACAUUAUCUUAUGCAUAUUACACCAAAAAUAAAAUGUUUAAGCUAAUUAUCUCCCAAACUGAUGAAAAAAAGCCAUUUCUAAGUUUCAGUAUCUUGAAUUAUUAUGACUGUAAAAUGUUAUAAUCCUUAGUAUGCAAAGCCAUAUUUCUUUUAUUUAGCAUGUAUCCUGCUACACAUAGACAAUUUUCAUGAAUAUGAUUGAGAGCUUUCGUACUACCAGUAAUAAAUAUUUACUAACAUUUGAUUAUGGGUAUUUGCUAGAAGUCCUAAUGACCUAGUUUUAAUUUUCAAUUUGACACGAGAUGGAAUCACCUGGAAAAUAAGUCUCAGUGAGGGUUGGCCUGAAGGUGUAUCUACUGGGAUUGUCUUGAUUGCCCUCACUGACUUUGCCUAGAAGUGGGCAGCACCAGCCUUUGAUCUUAAGCUCUGAUAUGUAUCAAACAAAGACCAAUGAGUAGGUGGUAUGUAUUAAUUCAUUUCUCUGUUCUUACCUGUGAAUGUGACUUCAAUAGCUAUUUCAAAUUCCUUUCACCUUGUAUUUCCCACAGUUAUGGGUUGUAGCCUAUAAUUAUAAGGCAAAAUAAACCCCUUUUGCUUACUUGCUUUUCUCCAGUGUAUUUUAUUGUAGUGGCACAAAUGAAUCUCUGGCAGACAUGAUGAUUUUAUAUCUUCAUUGUUUCUGUGAGUGAUGGAGACUGUAAGAACUUUACAUGUUUUUAUAAGGAUUAAAUGAGAUAAUAUGAGAAAGAAGAAUGCCUUUUAAGGAAUACCUGUCUCAUAUUCAGACCUCUCAUUACAUGUGAGGUCUGGGAGUUUGAGCCUAACCAAAAUUUAAAUAAUAAAAAAUCAUAUGGUACCUCUAACAGAUUCUUUAAAGUUUAUAGACUCUGAAAAUUUGCAUGAUUUCGUGGUUUGUCUGUGAAUGUAAGUAUCAUGUGACAAUCUUUGCACUUCAAGACAUUCAGGUUUUAAAGCAUUUUCUUGCAUCUCAGAAUGCAAUCCUUCAAAACUGUUCGAUCAUCCCAUUUUCUAAUGGACCAGGCUAAAAAUAAAUAUAGGCUAGUUUUCUAACAUUUUAAUUAGGUAUCAAAUGCAUUGCAUAUAGUUUCCAAUGCAAUUCACUUAGUCAUAUAAUUAGUAUGACGAGAGUGCUUGAAAAAAAAAUGAUGUGAUUUACAGAUCUAUGUCCUAGAGACAUAGCCAUGAAACUCAUGUCUUCACAGGACAUGCCCCCUGAUUUGAUGAGGGUGAUCCUCCACCCACUUACUCCUACUCUCUCCUCACUGCCCUAGUAUUUCCCUAUGCUGGGGCAUUGAGCCUUCACAGGAUCAAGGGCCUCCCCUCCCACUAAUGCCAGAUAAGGUAAUCUUCUGCUACAUUUGCAGAUGGAGCUGUGAAUACUCUUUGUAUGUUGGUGGUUUAGUCCUUUGAAACUCUGAGGUGAUCUGAUUGGUUGAUAUUGUUUUUCUUCCUGUGGGGUUACAAACCCCACCAGCUCUUCUAGUCCUUGUCCUAACUCCUCCAUUGGAGUCCUCAUAUUGACUCAGACCCAGAUGCACUUAUUUUUCCAUGC
rnacentral:lncRNA from 1 species